rfam:Otolemur garnettii contig075817, whole genome shotgun sequence.
ACUAAGGCCUUUCUAAAGGCCCCUCAUAAUCUCUUCCUGAACUCCU